rnacentral:rRNA from 1 species
AUACAGGGGGUGCGAGCGUUAAUCGGAAUUGCUGGGCGUAAAGAGUACGUAGGCGGUUGCUUAAGUCAGAUGUGAAAGCCCCGGGCUCAACCUGGGAACUGCAUUUGAAACUGAGCGACUAGAGUUUAAGAGAGGGGAGUAGAAUUCCGGGUGUAGCGGUGAAAUGCGUAGAGAUCCGGAGGAAUACCAGUGGCGAAGGCGGCUCCCUGGCUUAAAACUGACGCUGAGGUACGAAAGCGUGGGUAGCAAACAGAAUUAGAUACCCUAGUAGUCC